GGAAAACUCAGUUGCAAUAUCCAUCAUUUAGCUUGCAACAAGCCUUCCAUCAACAUGAAGCAAAAACAAUCCAAACAUCAAGCAUGCAAACCUUGAACAUAAACAUGCAAUUAAACCACAUAACAAAAGCAUGCUAAACCUGCUACAAGACUUUGUAGCCAUUCAAACCUGAACAAAUAAGCAUCAUCAAUCUGCACCAUGAGCCACAAGUCCAUUCUGCAAUGCUGCAUCACACCCAAAGUCAAAAGCAACACAUGAACCUACAAAUGCAAGCCUAUAACUUGUUAUGCAUUAGCCAAGACCACAAACAUCCUAUUGCAACACUAUAUAAAACCUUCAAAACAAGGAUCUAACAUUGCAAAGUAGGCAGCAGGUUGCAAUAACCUUCAUUCAUCCAUCGUG
rnacentral:lncRNA from 1 species